GCCACACUUGAUGAAGGCUUGCCUCAAUGCUCUCAUUAGGAUAAAUAUGAGUUACCCCAGAAGGGACUAAGGAGUCACUUUUUUAAAGUUAGAAACCUGUCAUCUUGUGGUUAUUUGCAGUUUCUGGUGCUCUGGUCCAGAAACUAUAAUUUGUCUUUGUGGCCUAUCUUCUCUUUGUUCUGGAAAGAACCCUUUUCAGUCCUGCAAAUGUAAGAGGGAAUGCCAACCAAACAGCACCACAUGGAAUAGACCUGAAAAUGCCAACUUUGGAACAACACUUUGAAUGGCAAAAUAAAAUUACACACUCAUGAC
rnacentral:lncRNA from 1 species